rnacentral:tRNA from 1 species
GUUCUCGUAGUUGAAUUACAACAGCGAUUUUUCAAGUCGCAGAUUUUGGAGAGAAGCCAAGCGGGAAUU